CGCUUGAUUUUUUUAUCCUAUCUGGAAAUAUCUGAAAUGCAACUUUUAGAAAAACUACUAAAAAAAACUAACUAAUUUACGUAUACAUAUUAGUAGACUUAAAAUAAGGUUUGUAGAAAUAUUUAAACAUAGCUGUAUAAUUUCACUGGUAUACAAUAUCAUGGGAUAAAAGAGUAAAUAUAAAAAUGCUGCAAAGUAAGUAAAUCUACUUUAUUUGUCAUAAAAAUUGUCAAAAAAGUCAAAUAUUGUUGUUACAAUACAAAUAACCAAAAUUCCUGUAAGUUCUUUCUAAUUCGUAAUCUCUUCCUAAGUUAAUAAAAAUUAAUUAUGGCUCAUGAACCUUACGAUGAUCCUUCGUUAAAAGGAUUUUCUAGAAUCUUUAACAACUGUACCAUUCGAGGAAGAGCUAAUGUUGCACUUGCUACAUUGUCAGCUAUGGCAUUAUUUAUGGUUUACCGAAAAUUAACUAAAGGCUCUAGAAAAAAGAAAUGUAAGUGUGAAUAACUAUGACUUUUUGAAUUGAAAUAAAAGAAUUCUGAAAAUAUACAAAAUCACUACAACCAUAUGAUGUUCCUUCUGUGAUAUUAACCCCAAAUCCUAAUGUCAAUCGUCAACGAUUGUUUAAAGUUAUAGACAUUUACCUUACGUAAUUAUUUUAAUAAAAAAAAUUGAUUUUGUAAUACUGUAAAAUUAUAAUUUUUCUGUUUCGGCGAUAAAUUAAAGUUUCUUCUUAAAAA